UGCCUUAGUAACGGCGAGUGAAGCGGCAACAGCUCAAAUUUGAAAGCUGGCCCUUUUAGGGUCCGCGUUGUAAUUUGUAGAGGAUGAUUCGGCGAGGGCUCCCGCCUAAGUCCCCUGGAACGGGGCGUCAUAGAGGGUGAGAAUCCCGUAUGUGGUGGGCUGCCUUAGCCAUGUGAAUCUCCUUCGACGAGUCGAGUUGUUUGGGAAUGCAGCUCUAAAUGGGAGGUAAAUUUCUUCUAAAGCUAAAUACCGGCCAGAGACCGAUAGCGCACAAGUAGAGUGAUCGAAAGAUGAAAAGCACUUUGGAAAGAGAGUUAAAAAGUACGUGAAAUUGUUGAAAGGGAAGCGCUUGCAACCAGACUUGUCCGCAGUUGCUCAGCCGGUCUCCUGACCGGCGUACUCUUCUGCGGCCAGGCCAGCAUCAGUUCGGGCGGUCGGAUAAAGACCUCGGGAAUGUAGCUCCUCUCGGGGAGUGUUAUAGCCCGGGGUGGAAUGCGGCCAGCCUGGACUGAGGAUCUCGCUUCGGCAAGGAUGCUGGCGUAAUGGUUGUAAGCGGCCCGUCUUGAAACACGGACCAAGGAGUCUAACAUCUAUGCGAGUGUUUGGGUGUCAAACCCAUACGCGUAAUGAAAGUGAACGGAGGUGGGAACCCGCAAGGGUGCACCAUCGGCCGAUCCUGAUGUCUUCGGAUGGAUUUGAGCAAGAGCAUAGCUGUUGGGACCCGAAAGAUGGUGAACUAUGCCUGAAUAGGGUGAAGCCAGAGGAAACUCUGGUGGAGGCUCGCAGCGGUUCUGACGUGCAAAUCGAUCGUCAAAUUUGGGUAUAGGGGCGAAAGACUAAUCGAACCAU
rnacentral:rRNA from 1 species